UGGGGAAUAUUGCACAAUGGGCGCAAGCCUGAUGCAGCCAUGCCGCGUGUGUGAAGAAGGCCUUCGGGUUGUAAAGCACUUUUAGCGGGGAGGAAGGCGAUAAGGUUAAUAACCUUGUCGAUUGACGUUACCCGCAGAAGAAGCACCGGCUAACUCCGUGCCAGCAGCCGCGGUAAUACGGAGGGUGCAAGCGUUAAUCGGAAUUACUGGGCGUAAAGCGCACGCAGGCGGUUUGUUAAGUCAGAUGUGAAAUCCUCGGGCUCAACCUGGGAACUGCAUCUGAUACUGGCAAGCUUGAGUCUCGUAGAGGGGGGUAGAAUUCCAGGUGUAGCGGUGAAAUGCGUAGAGAUCUGGAGGAAUACCGGUGGCGAAGGCGGCCCCCUGGACGAAGACUGACGCUCAGGUGCGAAAGCGUGGGGAGCAAACAGG
rnacentral:rRNA from 1 species